rnacentral:ncRNA from 1 species
CUACUUUUGCCCCGCUAUGGUUCAGGUAUGUCCACUCCGGAUAUGCCUGAUUAAAAGGGAACUCGGGUGAAAAUCCCGGACAGUCCCGCUGCUGUAAGUCUCAUAUAAUGCUCAGGCAUCGCCAAUCAGACCACUGUUGAACGUUCAAUGGGAAGGUCGCCUGAAGCAGAGAUAAGUCAGAAUACCUGCCAUACGACUGAUUUUUUA